rnacentral:rRNA from 1 species
UACGUAGGGUGCGAGCGUUGUCCGGAAUUACUGGGCGUAAAGAGCUCGUAGGUGGUUUGUCGCGUUGUUCGUGAAAUCUCACGGCUUAACUGUGAGCGUGCGGGCGAUACGGGCAGACUAGAGUACUGCAGGGGAGACUGGAAUUCCUGGUGUAGCGGUGAAAUGCGCAGAUAUCAGGAGGAACACCGGUGGCGAAGGCGGUUCUCUGGGCCUUACCUGACGCUGAGGAGCGAAAGCGUGGGGAGCAAACAGG